CUUUGGAGGAAGGAUUUUUCUUCAGAAUAAAGGCUCUCAUUAAGCAUUGCCUCCAGGCAGUUUGAGUUGCCUGCACAGUGCUUUGGAGGAGCAAUGAAAAGCUUCAGCUGUGCUGUAAGAGGCAUUUCUACCUUCCCAGGAGUGCCCAGGCUUGACCCCAUUUAGCUAGUGAGAUCAAUUUAGGUCAUAGAGCGAGGUCAGCCUCUAUAUGCUGUUCUUGGAGACUUUAAAAAUGACUACACGGAGUUGGUUAGCCAUUACGUUUGUCUCAGAUCAUCUCUCACCUCUUUCUGCCAGGGUAAGAUUUCUCUCUGGUAAGCAAUGAAAAUUGUGACUCAGAACCUUCACAAAUGGGAAGUGGAAACUCCUGAUUUCUAAUCAAGAUAAUGUUUGUGCAAACAAAUGGAUAUUUGCAGUCUGAACAGCAGUUCCAGUAUCUGGAUAUACCCAGUAACACCGCACCAUACCAAGAACUUUGUAUGAAGAAACCUGGGGCAAACCUGCACAUGACAUGGAUAAUCUUUUGCUGUUGAAGUCAGUGUAUCUAUUUCAGUUUGCACCAGCUGAGUAUGUGACUCUUCUCAGCUCAUGAGCUGUAACAAAGCUGAAAAGAUGGAUAGAAAUAGCAAGAAAAGAUUUGUCAUGUUUGGGUAGACAUUACGUAGGGAGGUGUGUGUAUAUAUAUGGGGAGAGAGAAUAUAUAAAGACAAGGACUUGGGCAUACUUCCCAUAUGUUUCAAAUCCUUUGAAAAUGUAAAAUCUUAAGGGAUAAAAGUUCACCUAUUUGACAAUGAGCUCUGAUUUUUGUUUUCCUUUUUUCUUUAUUUUCCAAUCACGUUGGUCCAUGAUACGUACUAAAAUAUCUUCCCAUUUCGCUGUUUUGUGGCACCUGGUAUGCUUGAGACUUUCAGCUUACUCAAGGCAAUAACAUUAUCUAUUGCAUAUUUUGUGGUUUUGUUCCAAAAAUAUUGGUGGGGGAAAAAAAUCUGUAGCCAAAAUAGAAUAUUAUAAUGUAAUCAGAUUAUUUUUAACUGCUAUCUAUAUUGUUAAAAGUAAGAUGGACUCCAUAUAAAUAUCAUAUAAAUAAAUAUAAAUAAUAACAACA
rnacentral:lncRNA from 1 species